GAUGAACGCUGGCGGCGUGCCUAAUACAUGCAAGUCGAGCGAACGGACGAGAAGCUUGCUUCUCUGAUGUUAGCGGCGGACGGGUGAGUAACACGUGGAUAACCUACCUAUAGGACUGGGAUAACUUCGGGAAACCGUAGCUAAUACCGGAUAAUAUUUUGAACCGCAUGGUUCAAAAGUGAAAGACGGUCUUGCUGUCACUUAUAGAUGGAUCCGCGCUGCAUUAGCUAGUUGGUAAGGUAACGGCUUACGAAGGCAACGAUGCAUAGCCGACCUGAGAGGGUGAUCGGCCACACUGGAACUGAGACACGGUCCAGACUCCUACGGGAGGCAGCAGUAGGGAAUCUUCCGCAAUGGGCGAAAGCCUGACGGAGCAACGCCGCGUGAGUGAUGAAGGUCUUCGGAUCGUAAAACUCUGUUAUUAGGGAAGAACAUAUGUGUAAGUAACUGUGCACAUCUUGACGGUACCUAAUCAGAAAGCCACGGCUAACUACGUG
rnacentral:rRNA from 1 species